GUAUGUCCAGGUUCUUCUGGACAUGUCUUCUCUUUCCUUCUGAUGACUCUUUGUACAGAUUGGCCUGUUUUUCUUUUUUUUUCUUUUUUUUCUUUUUUUAAAGGACAUCCUUUAUAUGCCAGGGGUAUAAAAUCUAGUCGGCUGGAAACCCCCAGCAGCCUAGAAACUCUGCACGUGACCACUGGGUGCUCACACUUCAUCUGCUUAGGACCAUCAGAAUUCAAAUGA
rnacentral:lncRNA from 1 species